UACGUAGGGUGCGAGCGUUAAUCGGAAUUACUGGGCGUAAAGCGUGCGUAGACGGUUACAUAAGUCAGAUGUGAAAGCCCCGGGCUCAACCUGGGAAUUGCAUUUGAGACUGUGUAGCUAGGGUGCGGAAGAGGGAAGCGGAAUUUCCGGUGUAGCGGUGAAAUGCGUAGAUAUCGGAAGGAACACCAGUGGCGAAAGCGGCUCCUGGUCCAGCACCGACGUCAGGCACGAAAGCGUGGGGAGCAAACAGG
rnacentral:rRNA from 1 species